UUUCCGUAGGUGAACCUGCGGAAGGAUCAUUCAUAAUAGGUGUUUUAUGGCACUUUUUAAAUCCAUAUCCACCUUGUGUGCAAUGUCAGUCGGUCCUCUUUAUGGAGAUCGGCCAAACAUCAACCUAAUUUUUUAACUCUUUGUCUGAAAAAUAUUAUGAGUAAUAUAAUUCAAAAUACAACUUUCAACAACGGAUCUCUUGGCUCUC
rnacentral:misc_RNA from 1 species